AGUACGUGAAACUGCUUAGAGGUUAAGCCCGAUGAACCUGAAUAUCCAUUAUGGAAAAUUCAAUAUUAAGAAUAUAAUAUUUAACUAUAUUGUAUGAAUAGUAUGCAAUUUUUCCAUAUAAGGACAUUGUAAUCUGUUAAUGUCUUAAAUGUUUAUCAAAAGAUCUUUUACUUAAGUUUAUUUAAAUUGUUUAUCUUCGGAUAUUCAACAUAAAAUAAAUGUUUAAGAUUUGUUAAACCAUUGACAGAUAUAAUUAUAUAAAAUGCUCAAAUUCUUCGGAAUUUUACAAUUAUAAGUGGAUCUAUUGAUUUAUUUAUGAUUGCAUGCAUUUUUAUGAUUAACAAUGCGAUAGAUUCAGGAUACCUUCGGGACCCGUCUUGAAACACGGACCAAGGAGUCUAACAUAUGUGCAAGUCAUUGGGUAUUUUUAAUAAAACCCAAUGGCGUAAUUAACUUAACUGAUUAAUAAUGGGAUUAAUUUAUAUUUUGUUAUGAUUUAUUUAUUCAAUCCCGGGGCGUUCUAUACAGUUAUGCAUAAUGAUAUUUAUAUUAUUUAUGCCUCUAACUAGAGC
rnacentral:rRNA from 2 species